GAGCGAGAGGACAGAGGCAGGGAGGAGGCGGCGGAGCAGCAGCAGCAGCAGCAGCAGCUCUCCUCCCGAGUCUCCAUCCCGCAGAAGACGGAGGGGGAGAAGAAGACCGAGACAAGACGAGCGUCCCGCCUCGCCGCCGGGGGUGCGUCUCCUGCCGCUCCUCAAGUUAAAACCAAGAUCUCCUUUUGCGCGGUCAAAAGAACACGAUGUACCAAGACUCUAAGCUGUGACUGAACCUGAAAAGACUGACUGUCCUGAACACUCAGGGUCCUCCGGGAGGGUCGACAUGGAGACCUGCGACAACAGGAGCCCCGAAAACCAAGUGUCCACGUCCAAACACACAAGGGGUGGCACACAACACGAAUAAGCUGCUUGAUCCCUCCCCGCCCGCCCGCCUCCUACGUCCACCCCGAAACAGAAUGUGAAGAAAGGCAAAAUGGGGGCUGUUGUCAGAAACCAGAGAGUGAAUUAUUAAUCCCCGGACAUUACAAGAAGUUGAAGCACGCUUGCAAGUUGUGUGACAUUCUGCACCGAUGUGAGGUGGGAUAAUUAUCCCCGAUGAAGUUGCGAUGGAUGAGGUCUGCUGAGGUUUAAUGAUUUAUUUAGGCUGGUAAGUUGUUAUGAUCUAAUAUUCAGUGGGUGGGUUGGGAAGUUUCUUUAGCUUGCAUUAUCAAUUUAAUUUAUUUUUCAGGUUCCCACUCCUACAUAGCCCCCCCAACACACACACACACACACACACACACUUCUUUAUAGAGACAUGAGGAGGAGGAGGAGGUCUGAGAGAAUAGUAGAGCAGGGGAGGCACAUUAGAGGAGGAUGAGAGAGGAUUCGAUCCUAAACCAGCAGGGAUCCAUGGGAAUCUAAAGGUGGGAAUCAACCAAAUUAGCAUCUAUGGGAAAGAGCUUCAUUACAUUAUUUAAAAUCGCUGGCGAACGAAAGGGAAGUUGUGUCUGAAUAGAUUGUUGCCGUCCUCCACUUCACCUGCCCGAGGGCGUCUUCUUCCAAAAUGCCAAGAUGAUCAGUGAAACAAGACAGCCUUGUUCUUCACGUUGACAGCCGCACGUUUGACUUUCACGCGUUAAGGUCACGACGCACUCUUCAGGUGGAAACCCAAAAAUCUUCAGCGUCGGCGUAAUGGGGUUUUCGUCUGACAGCCGGAAUAAUAUAAGGUGCUCUGGUACAGUAGGUUUAACGUACGAGUGUUGUGCUAUUUUAUCUACACCACCUCAGGCUGACGCUUUGAUUUUUCCUGUAAUAAAUAAUGCUCUUUUGUUUUUCUGUGCUUCAUUUGUUCCCUGUUGUAACCUCGGUGCUGCUCAAUAAAUUAUGAAUCACACCAGA